UUCACGGUCACCGAUGCUUUGCUGCUCAGUCCUUUUGGUGCAGGGCGAACUUGCAAGACUUCUAGCGAACAUACUACAAAGGCGGCGGCUUCGUUUGUUGUUGCAGUACUGCCUUUAGCCACAAGAUGACGUGUCCGACUAACAGAUCGCUGGGGAAUGACGCAGCGACUCCAGUUUGGCAUCGACGGCUUCUGUACAAGGAAGGAGAGAAGGAGGUGACACUCAUUCAGAGGGAACUGAAACACAACCCUGAAGGUUGCAGUGCAGAGACACGCAGUCGCUCUGGUAUAGAAGAUCUUGGAGCGUGUAGACGCGCUGGACGCCGAGUGAGCGCUCCAGGCCGUCCUGGAGGUACGGGUCGUAGAAGAUGACGUUGAAGCCAAAAGCCUUUGCCCGCAUUGACACCGCCUGACCCGAGCGACCUGGGAGGAGCAGACGGUGGGGGUCUUCUCUGGUCAGAGUGAUGGUGUGGUACAUCAUGGCACCCACCGCCUCGUUCAGCACCUGAGGGAGGGCAGAAGGGAAAACUUCAUCAGUAAGACCUUUCUCUGCUUUGGGAAUUUGCAUUUGUGAAAUGAUGACCACACCAUUGUUGUUCUUAAUCAAUAUCAGCCACAUUCAUAUUCAGAUGGAGCAAAUAUUAUUAUGUAUGAGGGACAUGUUGUGGUGGGCAUUAAUAUGGCCGCACUCUGCAGGAUGCACUUUAAUGUGCACUAUCCUUCAUCUAAAUGCAAAUGGUUUGUUUACGUGCACUCUAAAAUACUAGAGUGUUUAUAAUGAGUUCUUUACCAAGCUGGUGUUUGUCACAAUCAAUUCACUCCGACUGCAUACAAACUGCAAAAGAAUGGAAGCCGAACGAUCCAUAAGGUGGAGUGAGAAACCAGGAGAGCAUAAUAAGUAGCUGCUGGCGGAACAGCACUUGGAUUUUACACUCUAGUAACAAGGGUGAGUUUUAAUGAAGUGAAGAGCACUGAAGCUAGAUGCUAAAACUGCUGCUGAACAUCAUUCACGUUUGCUUGAGCGCAGUGUUCGGCUGGAAACGAGGCUGGAAAAAUGACAGAACCAGUGAGGAAGCAUCAGGGAACCGAGCCGAGCCGGCUGAAGUGGAAAGAGUGAGCAAAUGGGUUUUGAAUUAUGCUCAUUAGUUAAAGUAGUCCUCGGCAGUCUUGAGCGGGCCCACCGCCACACACAACGCUCGCCGUCGUAUUGUUCUUAUUGGAGGCUUAUUAUCCACCGCAGCGGCGGGUCAUGAAUAUGGCAACAAAGACGACAAGCUAAUCCUUUACUCAUGCUAAUGGCACAUUUAUUAAGACCACUACUCUGUAUUUUAGCUCAGGGAUUCAUUAUGCUAGUGCUGAUGCGUCCGUUCAUUGUGUGGCAGAAUCCCUGAAGGUUGCCUAGCAACCUGAAGAGGACAGCAAUUAGCAAAAAGUUGGUGAUUACAAAUCUGUGACAAUAGAUAAUUCAAGAAUACGACUGGAAGAAUUGUUCAUUAUACCGGGAAUAGCAGGUUUCUUUCAACUGUAUUUUUGAUCAUGAUCAGUUUACCAUGCAUUACAAGUGGAUAGAACUGGGAAAACCCUGACCUUCAAACUGCAUGGCUUUAAUUUAAAGAUCUCUCUGUGUCGCGGGGAGUGGGAAUCUUUCACCGUCUCAUGACCGAUUCAAAAUCCACGUCUCGAUUGAAAACAAUUUUCUUCAUGUUUUCUGAUGACGAAACUAAUUUGCAAGACAGAAAAACAAAUUAGACAUUGAAGUGUCUCUUACAGGAAAACAAAAGCCCCUCUUUAUUGAAAUAUAAUAAUAAUAUUCACUUCAACAUGUUAAAAUUCUGAGAAAAGUGCCUGUACCGGUGACUGUUCUUUUAGUCUCUCGGUCAAACAGCUCUGUCCGUAAAAAACUGAUCCCCGGGAGGUGCCUUGCAAUACGAGCCAGCACAUUAGCUACUUGAUCCUAGCUCAGGCACUGUUGGCGUCAUUCAGCUCAGUGUUUCCGGCCAUUCAGCAAAACGCCAAAUGACGCCAAACUGUAGCCUUUAGCCCAGAUGGAACUGCUAGGUGCGCCUCCCCCCCCAUCGUUGUUUUCUGGUUAUUUCUGUGCUAGAACGGCCAGAACGGGCUGGGUGGUGACGCCAGGACGUUGCGCAUAGUUACAGCUCUAAAUCAGUUUAAAUCAAUUUGGAGACAUCUUAAAUCAAUUCUGAAUCGUAACAAAUGACAAUUGCAAUUCAUAUGUGAUUGAUUUUUAGGCUCACCCAUAGUUUGAUACACAAUACAAACGGGGCCUUGUAUAACCAUGGGGAUGGAAAAUACGAAUAUAGAGCCAGAGAUCACUUGGAAAUACACUGAAAGAACUACUUACUGCAGGACUUCUGAAUAUACUAGUGUCAUCCUGGUUCAACACUCAACUUAUAUCAGAGUUGAAAGUAAGUUUAUGUCAGCCUCAUGUUGACCUUCUCAAUCCACUUUACAGCAGUUUCAAUUGAAAGCUUGAAACAUACUGAUAACUUCCUGUCCAUGGCAUUCAGCGAAACAUAUUUCUUCAUUCAACCCCACACUCUUGAUCUCCUCUUUCUCUGAGAGAAUCUAGAUCUCUGUCUUCAUUACCGGGCGAUUUCUUUUGUUAUUGCCGGGAUGAAUAAACCCUUCAUGCAUGUCGGCUGUCACGAUCUUGCACUUCAGCCGAGCGAUAAUCAAUAUUACUUUACACUUCAUGAAAACGGUGGAUAUUGAUAUUGAAAUGUAAAGAGGCACUUAAAAGUCAAACAGAAGGAAAGAAAUAACUUCAUUCAUUUCAUUCCUAACACUUGAAAGACAGACAAACUUGAAGAUCAGUCACUGAAAUUAAUAAUGUGUGAAUGAAAACAACUUACAUUUUGAUUGACAUUUGAAGACUUCUGUCUCACCACGAACAGGUUAUAGCUGCAGAUUACUAUUACUUGAGGUCCAUGAAAGUGAUCUGCACAGUUUUAUUUGGGUAUUGUCACAAGCUCAGUUUUGGACUUUAACGCUCAAUGUCAUAUUAGAGUGACAACUCUCAACUCUUUGACUUUUAAAAAUCAGUUUUCAAACUUGUUUUCCCACUAAUUCACCGCCAGUUGUGCCUCAGACUCUUUGCUUUUACAGCCCAACAGUCCACACUGCUGCUUACUACUACUCACCCAGGUUUUGCUCCCAGUUAUCCCCUGCCUUUAGAGUUCUGUUAAGAGAAUCUAUCAACUUCUGCUCUCAUCUAUUUGGCCCACACUUGCAUCGAAAAACGGGAAUUUGAAAAAGAGUCUUUGCCACAAGUUCACUGCUUUCUCACUCAGUCUCAGCCUGAAAUAUGUCUGAGACGCUGCAGUUCCUUGCAGUUCUGAAAAUGUGAGGCGACAUUUAGGCCCACGACUGAGCUGAGUGGAAGAACACAUUGCUAACCACCUUGCUUGGCUGGUUAACACUGUGUUUGCUCAAAUCAAAACACCAGGACUAUUAGAUUACAUUUGUACUGUCCGCCUCCUGUUUCUCUCCACUGCUUCACCAGGCAACACCAUGGAAGCGGUCUAAUUGAAGUGGGAAAGUGGAUCACGCCUGUGGGCUCAAAUAAUAUUAAAACAGCAGAAAGAAGUCGGAGGAUAAUGAGGAUGCAUCUGCACUGAAGUGACAGCAUAUCACAUUCACGGAACUCUGAUUCACUUCACCACACAUACGAACCUAAGUCACUUCCACUGACACGUCUUGAGUUUUCAUCACUACAUAUGAUUUUUUGUGGGAACCGGAAUCCUGUCAUUCACCCAUCCAUCCUCAUCCAUUCACCCCAGACACACUAUACAACCAUAAAUACACACACCAGUCCUUUCAUGCAGACAUUAAUGCUACCAAUAAUCCAAUGAUAGACCCAUCAAUACACUCUCUCGGGUUAUAACACACGCACCCAUCAAUUCACGUGUCAACCCCUUAGCAAACGCACUGAAUUGUUUUAUCCACCAUGUCCAGUCGCUCCAAUUAGCAUCCACCCAUCUGCUCACCUAGUCAUCAGUCCAUCCAAAAUCGAAUCCAUCUUAUGAUUAUAAAAUAUUAAACUAUUUUUUAUUUUAAAAAAAAGUUAAUAAAAAUACAUAAAUAAAUUUAAAAAAUGGAAGUAAAUGCAGAAGUAAAUAAGGAAAAAUAACUAGAAAUAGUUAUGUCAAUGAAUAUAUCUGUUUGGUCUGUUUAGAUGAGGGCGCACUUAUUUCCUUGAAUAAACUGUAUAUUAAUAUGUGCAUUACUACUAAGUAUUGCUUUAUUAAUACUUUAUUAAUACUUAAUAUGUGUUCCCCAAUCAUCUUUUUUUUUUUAGCUCUUUCUCCUUUUAUAUUUCAACAUUGAUUUCUGUAUUGUGGCUCUUGUAAUAUUCCAUUCGGACAUACCUAGUCAUCCCAGCAAUUUUAAUAAAUCAAUGCAUGAAACCACACUAUUCUGCCGCCAACAUUUGAUACAGCUGCUGUGUGCUGGUCUGGAACCUUCAGCCAUUACGUUACGAUCUCUUCUCAUUUCUAUUCCUUUUCCGAGACGGAGGAAUGUGACUGUGGUCAGCGAAAGUAGUCAAACACAAAAUACUUGUCGGGGAAAGUUUGAAACCUUUAGAUAUAGCAAACCAUUAGAUAUAACCUCACCCUCAUUACACUACCUCCAAAACUAAGAUGCUCACGCAGACAUUAUUUCUUUAUUUAGCAACCACAUUGAUAUAUCAAAAAUCCUUUGCUACUUGAGUCACUCAAACACACAGUUGUCGCUUGUGUUUUUCCAGUACCGGAGAACACUGACAAGGAACAAAAAAAGACAUACUAUUUUUCUUACACAAUACAGCGUGGAAAUGACUUUUUAUAUACCUUUUAGUGCUUGAUCAAACUGCACAAUAAAGCUGUACCUCAUGCUCAGCAGAACAAUCAGCCGCAAAGUUGUUUUCCAUUUUGUAACUCCUGUAGUGCAUCAGCCCGAGGGUCUAAGGUUUAAUAUGUAUUUAAUAUUUAUUACCUAUUGUCCUUCAACAAACCCGCCAAUAUCUUGGUGUUAGCGAGCGAGCGCUCCAUCGUCUGAGCCCUACCUUCUCGUGUAUCUCCUGUGUGGACUGGGCGUCGCAGAAGGCCACAGUAGCCAGGUCUUUCAGGAUGGGCAUCUCCACGGUGCAGUCGCGCCCGUCCAGCAGCGCCACAAGGGGGCGCGGGUGCAUAGGCCCAUUCAUAAUCUGGGGCCGAAUACCUGCAGAGACAGAAGAAGCGCAGACUCAAUAUUGAUGUCUGAGAUACAAUGCAGUGAGAGAGGGACUGUGGCCCAAACACACCUGAGCUGCAUCAAUUCACACACAACUCAUCCACCGACACAUCCACUUGUCGAUUUCACUCUCACGUUUGCAGUUAUGAUAUGACCAACCGCUUCAUUGCUGUUACUCAUGCUGUUACCAGGCAACAGGUCCUUUCACCCCAUGAGGUCACCACCUCAAUUAUCUUGUCACCACACACAAGCCAGCACAGGCGUGUGCAUGUGUAUGUGUGUUGCGCCAUCUUCAGUUCACUCGCACUCAAUACGUAAAAAAUAUCAAUUAAAUUUGGACGUCUUCAUAUUGUAAGAAGAUAGUCUGGUCACUUGUGUGUGGUGUCAAGCAGAGAAAAGUUGUUUUGUCAAUACUCCCAGUGACUCGGCAGCCUCACCAUCUGAUGCCGCAGAUGACUUUUUGAGGAGAGACGGUGAGGAAGUAACCGGCCCUUAAAUUCCUCUGAAUAGAAAGAUAGAAAAGAUCAAAAAGAGAACGAAGUGGAGGGGGUGGGGGUGUCCACACACCAGCACUCUGACUCCCUGCUGCCUGUUGUCAUGGUGAUUAGAGGAUUUGGGCAAGGAUUAUGAAAUAUUUUAUUUAGUGGCAUCUGUGCUGCAGGAGAGGAUGUCCAAGCCGGUUCCCUCUCUCUCCCUCUCUCUCUCUGUUGGUUUCAGUUGUCGGCAGCUGUGAUCCCAAUCCACUACAAGAUGGCAACAUUCAAAAUGAGAUCAGAUCGGACGUAAGGUGCAGCAUAGUAGAUUAAAAAUUCAAUAUGUUUCGGUGUAUAGUAAAAGAAAAAAGUCAAGCAAAUGAAAGCAACUUAAAAAAAAAUGAUGAGAUAGUAAUAGUAUGUCUGGCAUCAACAAGGUCCUGUCUUGAAAGGUGUGUCACUCCACCGUGGGCUCGGGCGGGUUUCAGCUAUAUCGUUUUAAGACGUGAGUGGAUCACUGCCAGAACGCAGACGUUUACCAGUCAUGACUGAGGUUUACUGUAGAUGACGUGUAAAGUCAUGAAGUCAUAGCAGGAGACAGUUGAGAGUCUGACAGUUAUUUUGCUCCCUCUCUGGCUGGUGACUCAAAUGUUUUUCUCCCGCGUGAACCUGGAACCUCACGUAACCAUCCCACUUCUGGCACCACAGUUUCGUCACUGGUCAGAAUGCUUUGUAGAUUUACUUUACUGGUCCUUACCAGGGAAAUUACAGUCAAUAUGACCAACGUGACUGCAGGUUUUCAACAAGAAAGUCUUGAGUGAAAACAGCAGAGUCUCUGAGUAUGAAGGAUGCCAAUGUAUCCACCACUAUCAACUGCAGGUGAUACUGAUGAACAAUAUAAGUUAGUGUUGUAGUCAAGAGCACACCGACCGAGACCAAGACAUUAUUGAGACUGGAGAGUACCGCGACAAGGCAUUUGGAGUAUCUGUAAGGAGUCUCAAACUGAUCCUCAAAUGAGCCGUGGUGGUUAACCAGGUCAGGUGUUAGCUGAAACAGGCAGCACCAGUCUGACAACCAAGAGUCUGCUGACACCUGACUGGAGUUCAGGUAUCCUCUUUAUGAAUUCACACACACUGAGACACCACAAUCUUUCAGCAUCAAGGAAGCUAAACACAUAAAUAUCACAUGACCACGCACAAUGAAUAAUGCAGCUUUUGCUCAUCUGAACGUAUGGUUAAACGCACUGCUCAUUUUUUACAGAAGCAAGCAUCAAAAUUACAGCCCAGACGGCGAUGAAAAGUCACCGUAGACGGGAGCCAUGAUUCAUCUAAAAGUCAGUCUAUUUUGCAGACAGAUAGGUGAAAGACAAGCGUGCUGAAGAGCAGUCGAGCAAUUUUAGAACCAGCUUUUUAUCGCCAUUAUCUCUCAUAUUUCAUUUUUCCACAGAGCAGCUUGAAGGACGUAUUGUAAGAUGUAAGUGAUCACCUUUUAAAAAGCUGUUAAAGGGACGAUCCAUCAUUUUAACACAGGCCAUGCUGACGGAUGGAACAAAAUGAUGCUUUCAGUUCUGUUUUUUUUCUUUUUUUGGAAGGAGGGCAUGACGGAUAGCAAACGCAUACUCAGAACAAAUGACUUCUUUAGGUCGCAUCUGUAAACCUUUCCACUUGUAGCGCAGAAGAAUCAAGGUUUGUCAGAGCUGUGUAGUGUUUGGUUCCAACUGUUUUGCCUUUUCUUUUCCCACUCUAGCUCACUGAUGUUCAUUUUGUGAUGCUAAAGAUUACAGUGUGACUUUCCUCUGGAUCUCUUUAUAGAAGCCUUGGAGAAGAGGGGAUUCACCAUAUUGCUGGUUUGUUCAGUCAGUAAGACGCCAACUAGAUGUGUAGUAAAAGAAGCCAUAAACAUUUUAUCUGUUCUCAUUUGCCGCUGCCUAUAUUCCAGGACGCAUGCGUUCUGUAUUUAACUGCAAGACUCUGUAAAACUUGCAGAGUUGAAUCCUGAAACACAGAGAUGGUAUACAGGAUCAUCAACUCAGGGUUCAUUAACUCAUUAAAGUCUAUUGUUAGAACAGCCACUGGCCACUUCUGAAUUAAUGACAACAAUGGCAAAGUCUGCCAAUGCAUCAUCUAUUGAUAUCUACAUCUCCAAACUACUUUGCUGCUUUUGCUCCAUCAGCUUGAGCGCUGGCCGCUGGAACCACAUUUGCAUGAAUCAUUAUUAUUUAGCAAAUGAUCUGAUACUUGUACAUAUUGAAACAUAAAUACUGAUCUUUUUCCCCUCAAAUGGUGACUAUAAUGAAAACAUGCAAUGUAAAUGUAAAUAUGGCGCACAUUAAUGAUUAUGGAAAAGGAUUUUAAAAAGUGUAGUUUAUCGGCAAAAAUAAAUAUAUAAAACCACAACAAUAACAAAAAACAAAAUAAACAGAAUAAAUAAAGUGCAACCACAAUAACUGAAUCAGGAAUAAUACAAAAAUUGCAAUUGCUUCCUGUUUUUUUGUCGUGGCAUCUUUGUUUAGUAGCUGUGAUUCUGUUUCUGGAAUUGUGCUUGGUAGUUGUGCUAAGUCUAUUUUUUGAAUUCUUGAUGAUGAUGAUGAACUAAAAAAAAUGGUUAUUGUCAACAACAGUGCAGCAUUUAAAAACAUUAUUCAAUAUGUAUCCGAUGAUAAAAAAGCUGAAAUAUUGUUUGAAAUGAAAUAACAUUGAAACAAUAAGAACAAAUAAUAGCUGUGAUCUCAUUAUUCUAAUCCACAGAUGCUGUUAGAAAAAGGUCACUGGCUCCAACAAGUGGCUUCUAGCACGCGCUGACCCCCACGAUGUGGAUGUGGAUGUGGAUGACUCAGGAGUUGAGGAAGAAGGCCGGCUGUGACUCCGCACCUCUUUGUCUGCUCUCACACUCGCAGCCCAGCUGAGCUCACCGUCACGGCUGAGACGCAACACACACGCAGCGCCACACCGCAGCAGCUGGUGACAGGAAGAGCCGUGUCACUGGUAGGAAGUAGGUCAAACACUGUUGAUUCAUUAUUUCCUGAUGGCUAAUUGCUUCUUCUGCAGCCUAAUAAGGCAGAACGUGGCAGCGCACUAAACACAUGAUGAAUGGCUGGAUAAUGAACUACUAACAAGCUUUUUAAUGCGGGGAUUUAAUGACUUGGAUACCUGACGAACGACUGCUAAAGUUACACUGAGAAAGUCCUUUAACAUGACGCUGGAUGAUGGAGUUACAUUUGGGUGUAAACUGACUGCUGUCUUCCUAUGUUGUGGGUGAUCCAGCAUCGAAAUAAUGUCAUGAAGAUACAAUAUUUAAUAAUCCGUCCCAGACCACGUCUCCAUCUCUUUUCCUGGGACCCUAAUGCAUUUUCAAAUAGGUAACUCUGUCAGGGAGGGGAAAGGUCAGGGAGUGGAGGCAACAUUCGGCAGGUUGACUUCAAUUAUUCAUGUAUGUUGAGCCGCUCGGUGGGGGAGCGCCUUCCUGCCCCAGCAGCCACUGGUGGAGAGCAUGUGGCUGUAGAGAAGUUUUUUUCCCCUCAUAUCACACACAAUUACUAUUCAUUUCCCUUUUUCUGCUUGAGAGCUACCGUAAUUUCCAGACUAUAAGCACCUACUUUUUUUCUUGUGGUCAGGACCCUGCGGCUUAUACGGCAUGGCUAAUACAUGGAUUUUUACAGGCUAAAGAGCGUCAUGCUGCCAAGUUAUUGGCCUUUGUCACAAGAAACCAAUGAAAUCACAAGUGUUUGUUUACGCUAAAGCGCUCAAAAUACGCUGUUUUGGCCCACAUCUCCACCAACAGAGCCGACCUCCUGGAGGACCGCAGAUGAGAAGCAGCAGCUGAGACCAACUGUGGCGUCGGAACUUCUAGGACACGAGAGUAAACAGCGCAUUUUAAUGUGAUUAGAAGAUGUGAGGAGCUCAUGAUUCAAGUUCACAACAUUUGUGAGUUUGUUUCAUGAGUCAGUCUCGAUGCUGGACGUUUUCAAUACUAGUUUAGAAGUGAUCUUCAUGCAUUUUUAAGCCGAGUGCACCACUGACCAUUUUUCGGCGCAGACAGCACCAAUGCACCCGCGGCUAAUAGACCACUGCGACUUAUGAUGAACAAGAUCUGUUUUCCUUCUUAAAUGUAGUGCUUUGAUGUGCAACAGUGGCAGACAAGCCACUCCUCUUAUAGGCUUUAAAUCAGACUCGCGAUUGUUGAGUCUGACUCAGACUCGUACGUCAACAAUUAUAAUUAGUGUCGAGACAGUUGGUCCUCAUAUCUUCUGAUUUAGCUUCGGAAAUAACUGAAGAUAGGUCAGAUUAGCACAAACAAUAAGUUUCUUGUCAUAUUCUUGAAAAAGCAGCUAAUUCACAAGUGCUCACUUAACAAAAAAAAACUCUCUCAGAACUGUUAUUCUGAAUGAAAGAGCAAGUAAAAAGAUGAAGCAGCAACAGACCCAACAGCCAAAACAAGUCGACAAACUAUUGAAGAACUAGGUUGACGUAGCUAGCAUGAGUCGCUUCAGUUAUUAUAUCAUGAGAGUCUAGCUGCACACUUUAGUGAUGAGAAACUGGUGACUGCAACUGUGAAUUCAGGCCCUUAUGGAACACAGAAACAAGACAACACAAUCCCUUAAAGUAUGAGACACAACAACUUGGUACAACCAUUUUUUUUACCAGAUUCUUAGCAGCAUCUCCAGAAUGUCAUCAUUUGUGGAAGUCUUUUAGAAACCUUUUUUUGAACAACACAACUUAAAGUCAGUGAGACAGUUUUGGCUGUUUAUCAUUUGGAGAGAAAUGUAAACCGCAUGUGCCAACCUCUUGUUAUUGUACUUAUCGCUGCACAAUAGCCAGCAUUGUGUUUGAGCCAGUAGAGUAAUGGAGGAACAAGGCCAACGGCUUGAGGAACAAUAAAGCGUGUGGAGUGUGACAGCAGAUCGCCUGGUCCCACUGAUGUAUGCGGGGAUGGUGUGUGUUCUGACAUCCCUCGGGGAGAAGCUCGGGCUGACUAAAAGCUGAUAUCAUUCUUGAGACGGUGCUAAUCAACAGCUCAGUCAUCCUCCAGGAAGUAUGAAAACUUUGGCGGCGUUGGCCAGCACAUUCCAAGCAAAAACAACCCACAAAUGGAUUACAGAUGUUCAGACAAAUAAAAGCCCUGUCGGAUUCCAACAACAGCCCUUGAGUAGGAAAAAAGAGAAUCACAAAAAUAUUCCUCUUUUUGAGUGAACACGAUCUUGUGUCUUUCAUUUGAAUGUGCUGAGAUGUUGGAAAAGAUACCAGAGUCAAAGCCAAGCGCCUCGAGUCAGAGGUUUAACAAGAGGAAUCAUUUCCUGAAUUAAACUCGCAAUGAAAAGAGGAAGAUAACAACUGCCCUCUGAGUUUUGAACCAUCUUUGUUCAUACCUUCUGCAACGCCUGUAAAACUAGCUGGCGGUGACACAUAGCUGCAGAGUUCUUUGGAAAGGGAGCUUUUCCAGCUGACAGCAGUGCCACACCAGGAACAGGCAACAGAUAACAGGUUGAAGAUGGAGCUCUCUUAGUUUGAGUGACAUCUUCAGUAAGGGUGCCUUGCAGACAUCCAGAUUGAUUCAUAGCACCCUCCUUUUAGGUCAGUAGGUGGCUUCACUGUUGUUUGCGGUCCCAAGAGGUUUUUGAUGGCCUGACUUUAUUCUGUGUUGGCAGCAUCGUCUUAGGAGAAAGUGUAAAGAGGUUAUUUAUCCAUCAGCCUGAGCGGUCUGAGGGACAAAAGCAAAAUAGCUUUCAUGAAACUGAGACUCCCAUGGCUGAAGAUGACAGUCACAUUUAAAUGUCACUGCUUUAGAAAACAGCUCAGAAAAAAAAUGAUUUCCAUUCCAACCGACCAAAUCGCAGGAUCCACCCUCAGAGCCAAAAUCUUCUUUUUUUAAUACAGCUCUAUAUGUUUUCCUGUAAGCUUUUUAUUUCUGACAAUAUUCACCCGAUAUUUUCACAUAUUUAUCUGUAGGAUUUUUUUUUUUUUUUUGGCAGAAGCACUCAUCAGCGCCUGGUUUUUGAGUCAGACUCAAAGGUAAAUGGUGCACUUUGGGAAUACUGAGACGUAUUAACUUACCUGUGCCAUUAUGAUUUCCCCAAUAAUUACUGUAUUGUGUAGCGCGCCAUCUCGAAUCUCCAUUAAUAGCCUCCUGGCGCGGUCUAGCAUCAGCACUCACUGCACAGUGACACAUUCAAACCACUUUUUCCUCCCUUCUUUUUUUUAAACUCUCCUAUUUCUUUCGCGCUCUAUUUCCCCGGCUACUUUCGCUUCCACUGGAAAGGUGCUGAAAAGCUCCUGAAUUGGAAGCCAUGGGCGCUCCCUCACUGUGGAACAAUGCAAGUCCAAAAACAAAAGGAAAUGAGGAAGAUUUUCCACACACAGUGUGAUGUCACAGCCACCGUAAGGUUGCAGAGUUCACAGCAAGAAUUUAGAGAAGAAAAAAAAAUGCCACUUGACAUGGAGCCAAAAGUGGGCUCAAUGGGCUUUGACCCAACAGCUGGUUGUGGUUACUUAGCAACUCCCAAGUCCGGGGCACUGCGGUGAGCGGGCCAACUUUAAAGAGAGGUGGUCCAAGGUACCAAUUCUCCAGAUCAAGCUCAGAAGCAAAAGAAGAAUGUUAUCUUGCCUUGUUUUCUGGGUGUGUUCCAAGGAAAACAUUGCUUGUAGAGAUACUUGCAUGGGACUUAUCAGAAUUCACUUCACAAGCGCUUUAAUGUAUCAGUUGUGUCACCAUAGUUGAAUUAAUAUGAAUGUUUUGUUCAGGAGAGGUCGCUGUAUGUUUGUAGAAAAACAUAUGCUGUAAUCUGUCUUCUAAAGGACAGAAAGCAUAUGCUACAUCUAAAAGCAUUUUUGCUGCAAGUGUUGAAUACUUGCCAUAAAUCUCUAGUGUCUUCUUCAAAUCCUCAUUUAUCUUCACUGCUGGAUGAAUCUUGCUCUGUCCUCACCAGCGCUGGCCUGUUUGUAUCCUACAAUGUUGGAGAUAAAGAAUGCUUCUUCUCCACACAUUUGCAGAAAAGCCAUUUCAUCUGACAAACAUGCACGUAAAAUCUGAUUAUUUUAUUGUCUAUUUUGCCCCUUUUCAAAGCCAAUCCUGUGACUUCCAAUACUAGCAGUAGAUAAUUCAUAAAUGUCAAGGAAUACCGCUGAAUUAAAAGGCGUACGAUCAUCUUUGGUUUACGACUAGCCGCCUAUUAUAAUGCAGGUCCCCUUUUGCUUGCCAAAACUUCUGCUCUUGUGGAGUGCUUCCAAUGUUUCCUGGGCUCGUGGGGAGUUUGGACCCAUCGAACAGAUGAGCUGCUGCAGCUCCAACUGCUGAAACGUUAAUGCUGCAGUUUGUCAGGGUGCCCACACUGUCCUCUGAUGCAAGGAUAAAAUAGUACACACGAUAUGAAAGGAAAUAUGUUUAAGCGAGCUAGUGCCCAGAGAACAGUUGCUGCUGCUUCGUUGCUACCAAACUGCAUGUAGUACAGUAUGCAGCAUUACAGUUAGCUUCCUUUCUCCUGAAGUUCGCUGUUCAGGAGGCCUUCUUGUAUAUUUUUCAUUUAGCCAGUCGCGGUUAAGAAAGACCUCAGCUAAAAGUUUGAGCCACGUGCCUACGCUCUACUAGAGUCAUGAGCCUGGAAACAAGAAGAUAUACCAGCACCUUCCCAUCCUCCCCCGCAAAAAAAAAAGAAAAAUGGAACUGAAGGCAGUCAAUAUGAACGUUCUAUUAUUUAUUAAAUGGGUGAAAAAAAAAAGAAUUUUUAAUCACGAAAAGUAAAUCUGCCUAUAACCUAAGCCGUCCUCAUGUGGAAGUCUCUUCAUGUGUCCAGCUGGAAUGCACGACUUCAGUCAUUAUGCAGUUUCUUUUGGGAUUUUUCCGCAAGUAACACGGCAAAAACCAUCACGUUCAUGUCCACCUCCAUUAUGAGUUAUGUAUUAUCCGCCUAUUUCGACGUUUCCACUUCAUUUUAAUGUUUGAUCAUGUGAGAUUUCAUCUUUAAAAGAGGUCUUUGUUUUGACGGUGUAGUGGCUCACAUUUAAGAAGUGGCGCUGCAGCACACUAGUAAGUAUGUGGCGGAAACCCUGUUUCAAAAAAAUUGGGUGGAUGGGGUCUUGUCAGGAUGCUUCCUGGAUGCCUCCCUAGUGAGGACCUAAAGGACAUGGUAAGAUGUGUGUCAGCAGCAGGAGACGUAGAUGAGGGAAGUGUGGGCCUAGUUCUAAACCUAUUUCAUCCUGUAAAGCCCAAACUGACUCACACACUUGGUAAGCACCAAAAACAAAACACGCUCGAUCAACCAAAACAAACAUAAUACUGUGACUUAAUGUUGCAAAGAACAUGGCGCCUAUAUUCUUGGGAGUCUCUGCUUAUCUGUGUGUCUACAAUCCCCAUGGCAUCUGAGGGUGCUUUUUUUGGCAGCGCUGCCUCCUCCUGGCCCCCAGUGGACCCUAACGGCGGCCAGCUUGCCCAGCCUCUAUCUCUUGUUCCUGCAUGCAAACACACAAAGACUUUGUUUGUCCCCCCCGCGGCCUUCCUCCUUCAAACUUAUCGCAACCAGAAUGUUCUGCUAACAGGAGGGGAGCUAAGGGGGCUUGAGGAGCCGGGAGAAAACAGGUUCACGGGCAACAACAGUGGGAAGGAGGAGGGAAAAAAAGCAAUCCCAGGCGGUGUCGGUGACAAAUACAUGACACGGCGUACAACAGAAGACGAGCACUCAUCCAUCACUCUCCUCUUUAAAUGUUGUCUUUUGUGCUUCACUAGCGAGGCUUCAAAACAAUCGGGCUCCUGAGACAAAAGCAGCUGUCAGUGUGGUGGAAGAGCCUUACACACACACACACACACUCACACACCAACAGCACAAGUGCAGAAUCACCUCUGUUACUUCUUCUACAUUAAUACCACGGCAACAAAAAGACAGUUUAGUUCAAAGAAUGACAUGAGAAUAGCUAGGUUUUAAUUCAUUCUCUCUGCGUUUCCUGAUCACUGCAUUUUGUAAUUGAUACAUUCUGUCCUUGGAAAAAAAAUACUACUCUUAAAAAUAAUUGGUAGAUGGAAGAAAUAUGAAUCGAAUUGUCACACUCACUUUUUUGGGAUCAACAUGGACAUAUCUAUUAAACCACUAACUCAGUCAUGAUUCACUGUAUAGUGUGCAGCUGGAGCCGGUCCCAGCUACACAGGGCGAGGGGUGGGGAACACUCUGGCACUGGGAGGCAACGCAAACACACUGGAAUAGUUCUGCUUCUCCUAACCAAUUGGUGUCUUAGGAUUCUAGACAGGCAGCAGCAUGAGCGUUGAAGCACCAGGAGCAGCCAUCUACAUCACCCAUCAGCAUGUUGCAAGUUCACUGCUUGUCCUUCUUUCAACCUUUAGACGGGUGCUGACCACUGCAGACACCUCCCAAGAUGCACCGCAAAUAGGUUCCUGCACAACAACUGCCCAGUGCCCACAGUCGUUCGGCUUUGUCCGAAGCUGGUUUCAAACAAUGGUGCAGAAGGUUGUGGGUUUGAAUCCCAAUGAAGUCACCAGCGAUUAGAAAUGGUCACGCGUUAUAUUGCUUACACUUCAAAGUCUCGGGAAAACAAAGUGCGACGAAAGCUUCGUGGUCACAUCGGUUGGAUUCAACAGAAACACUCUUGUGUGAGCCAAUUCAAGCAGAAGAUUUCUUAAAUGUCACACGCCAAUCUCAGCUCUCACAGGUGAACCGACACUUAACCUCCCUCCGCGCCGUGCACUUUGACCUUUUCAUAGCCACAUCCGACAAGAGUCGCGCUACGUAUUUUUCAUAUUGUUUCCUGCAGGGGAAGCAUGGACUUAGUUAGCGACGCGCACACACACGUACAAACAUACACACGCGACACACUUCAUUGCAGGAACAUAAGAGGCUCAUUAGCCUCAAAGCCAAGUCACCAUCAAUCCCCCCCACCCUCCCUCCCUCCCUCCAAAUGCCCUCCUCCCUCCAUGCUAUCAUAAACGUACACAGAUUUUUAUUCUUAGCUGUCGCACACUAAAACAAGACACUUGCGCCAAAUGAAGGGACAAACAUGCUCCUUGCCUGGAAAGUGUUGUCUCCACAUUCUUGUGAUCAGGAGCUGCACAUGGCAGACGAAAUGUGAUGGAGAGGCAUAUAAAUAAAGUCGGCUGGAGGAGACUGGGGGAGUUCUCAGUCGCUUGCCCGGGGGUUCUCCUCACCUCUCUGCCUCCCCCUCUGUCCACCCUCCCUCUCUCUCUGUUUGUCUUCCUCUGCCGUCUUCAAUAGUUCCCCCACAGCGCGUUUCCAAAUCUGUCCUCCUUGGUCACCUCACGCCCAGAAGCCGCAUCUCUCUCUUCUCUCUCAGUCAGGGUUUCCUCACGCACUUCUAGGGGGAGAUGAAAAACGGAGUGUGCUAUUGAGGGCUGAGGAUGGUGACUACAGUCGCCGGAAAAAAUGACGUCUCAAAACUCUGCUAAUCUCCAACAAGACGGAAUAAACUGCAUCCGUCUUCAGGCGGCAAUCAUCACCCCUCUCCUGCGCUCUUGUCCUCUCUGCUGGAUCACUUAUGUGUAUCUGUUCUUUUCCUCUCCUCUGCUGCUGCUCCAGCUUCUCUCCUUUCACGAAAAAGGUUUGGGCUUUUUCAUUCAGACGUCAGGCUCACUCUGUCAGCCUUUUGUUGCGAGCCACAGAGAUACACGGCAAAGAAGGGAGAGAGAGCAAACGGGAGGAGGGGGGGGGAAUAAAAAUGGAAAAGACCAAAAAACAAAUGGCUGGCACAGCUAUGCAGAGAAAUGAAAGAGGGAGGUAAAUAAAAAGAGAAAAGAGAAGAAAAAAAAUUCCUUGAAGCGCAGCAGUCACAGUGAGGGGUGCAGCGCUCCUGGCACACGUACGACUUUCUCUCUCAUUCUCGCCGACCUUCCCCUUCACUCAACAUAUUUUCCUUCCCUCCCACCCCUCUUUCUACCUCCCUCCUCCCCCCUCCCUGCCUCUCUGUUUUAUUAUUUGUGAUCUGGCCUUCAUGGUUCUUUAAGAGUGCCAGCCCCCUUUCCUCUCUCACUCCCAAACUCUCGGUCUCAUGCAGAGAUGCUUGCCAUUUAAUGCUUUAUUUCAAUUGCUGCUACAUGAUAGUGACGAGAGAAAAAGGACAAAUAAUGGCAAGAAGUCUAAAUGAUCGGGGGUCGGAGGAGGGAGGGGUCUGCCAUGUCACGAUGUCAUUUAAAAAGAGGUGUAAGCAAAACCUGUGACAUGGAAAAUUAAAGGUACUGUAGUACUCCAAUGAUGCCGAUUCAAUUCAUUGAAAUGUGAACAGUUUCUGCUCAUGGAUUUUCUUUUUGUAGGCAGUGGUCAAUUCAUCCAUUUAAGUACAUGAAAGAAAGAGCAGAAGUUCCCCAUUAAAUUAUUUGGGAAGUGAGGUGGGUAUUAUACGUAGUAUUGCCGAACCCAACACUGAUGUAGUCAUCUCGAUGCCCAGCCUAUAGGUGGUGUAGUAAUGUCCUAAACUUGGUAACAGAGGCAUGGUAACAGUGCACCCAACAUGAGAAACAGCCAUGAGCAAAGCGUAGGGGUCGGAAUGAAAUGCGUUGCUGAGAACACUGGCGAUAUCAUUGAUAGCAAUGAGCUGAAACGGACAGCAGAUCGCGGUAGCAUUCCAGCACUGGCUGUCACAACACACAGGAAACACGAGUUGAACUAAUGAUUUAGCCAUUGACCGCUCAACCUCCUUAGCGGAGGAACCUAAUGUGCAUUUCAAUGGAAUGACUUGACUUCACUGAACAAAAUCACGCCUCUUCAUACGCAUGUCUCAAUAAGGGUGUUUUGUGAUGCAGGAAACCGCACAAAAUUCAGAAAUCUGAAUCACUCAAAAAUGCACCUUUUAAUUUCCGCCAAAGAAGCAAAAACAACAAUCCAAAUUCCAGUAAAAAAUCUGCAUAAUGAUGCCCUUAUAACCAUCAGUAUUAGCACAUAAAUUCAACUCCCGCACCACCUCUCCACCACAACUACUCCAGGUUGAGCUAAAUCUAUUGCUUCAUAAAAUCUUAAGCGUGAGUGUUUCAUCCAUAUUUAUUUACUACCUAAUCUCCCUACACCAUCUACACCAGGCAUCAGAGUAAAUAAUGUAAUGCACCACUUAAGAAGAGGAAAUAUUUGCAAGUUCGGAGCUUGUAAUGGCUCGACUAUGCUAAUUUGCUGUGGAAUCCAGAAUCCAUAAAUCCACGGCUUUCUUUUACGUAUCUGGGGUUCCAAAAUAGGCCGACUACACUACGUUCAAAAUGGUGACCAAGACAAAGGUGAUUUUUAAGAGCCUGUCAAAUGAGAAAGCAGCACAAUGGAAAGCAGUUGUCUGCAUCACGAGGAUAAAAUCCAAGCAGAUGAAUAGACGGAGAAGUGAAUAGAUGACUUUGAUCAUCAUUCCUUUCAGCAUAUGUUCAACACGCCACACUUUUUAGCCAGAGGCACUAGUUCUCCAUGUGGAGAGAUUCGAUUCGCUGUUACUAAUCUUAACCUGCUGUGAACGUUUCCAAAUUGGUGACCGGAAUUUGAUAUAUCUUCUUCUUACUUCUGACACACACCAACAUUCUGGGACAGUGUCCAGCCAGGAAUGCAGCUUCUAUUAAAUCUCACCCUCAAAGUCUGACAGCCAUCAUGGUAAUAUGGAUGACCACAUGUAGUGCUGCAGUUAUUUUAUUAACAUGUAUAAGGGUUACUGGAUUAUGCUGGUCAUAACAAAGUUUUUAAUACCCUGCGUAACCAGACAGCAAAAAGGAAAAGUUAAAGUUAAAUAAUGCUAAAACCAACUGUGAAUGUAAUUUGAAUUGUACAGUGUUUUCUCAGCAGUUGACAAGAGUUAUCCACUACUACUACUACUUGACCAUUGUUCAAAAACAUGGCCGAAUAAAGUGUCCAAUUCUGCACCCAUAUCGUAAACAGGCAGUGUGGUCAGCAGCUUAACACCCAUGAAGAUUUCAUUUUCUCAGCAUGAAUAAUUCAGGGAGACUCCCUGUCCGUCAGAGGGGAGAGAAAUUCAUCUUCACCUAACACUGCUCUUCUUUUCCUUCAUUGCUGUGCGCACAUUCUUCAUUUAUCUACUGUUCAUCUACAGUACAGU